CCUACGGGAGGCAGCAGUGGGGAAUAUUGCACAAUGGGGGAAACCCUGAUGCAGCGACGCCGCGUGAGUGAAGAAGUAUUUCGGUAUGUAAAGCUCUAUCAGCAGGGAAGAAAAUGACGGUACCUGAUCAAGAAGCCCCGGCUAACUACGUGCCAGCAGCCGCGGUAAUACGUAGGGGGCAAGCGUUAUCCGGAUUUACUGGGUGUAAAGGGAGCGUAGACGGCAGCACAAGUCUGGCGUGAAAUGCCGGGGGUUAACCCCGGAACUGCUUUGGAAACUGUGCAGCUAGAGUGCAGGAGAGGUAAGUGGAAUGCCUGGUGUAGCGGUGAAAUGCGUAGAUAUUAGGAAGAACACCAGUGGCGAAGGCGGCUUACUGGACUGUAACUGACGUUGAGGCUCGAAAGCGUGGGGAGCAAACAGGAUUAGAUACCCCGGUAGUC
rnacentral:rRNA from 1 species